UUAUGGCCAUAUCACAUUGAAACACCAGUUCUCAUACAAUCACCAAAGUUAAGCAGCAUCAAGCCUGAUCAGUAACAAGAUGGGUGACUGCUUGGGAAUACCAGGUGCUGUAAG